ensembl:lncRNA
GUUAGUUCCCUGUUCAAACCCAGGCCCUACUUACCAUUUGCCACCUGCACUGAACUGGGGGCCUCAGUAACCUCUGUUACAAAAGAUGCCCAGUCCGAUAGGGUUGCUGGUGAGGACUAGGUGAGAAGCCUCAUAAAAAGCCGGUAACACAGAAUAUGGCAGCCUCAGGCACCCCCAUCCAGGAGUGGCUGUAAAGGUUCUGCUUCCAUUCUCCUGGAGGGUUUAAACAGCAUUCAGUCUAAUCAGGCACUUCACCUCUCUGCACUGCGGUUUCCUCAUCUGUAACACGGCAGUAUCUGGCUAUGGAGAAAGAGUUGGGGAGGUUGUCCCCUGCCCAAGGUCAUGCAGAACUAAGUGACCCAGUCAGCAUUUGACCCCAGGUGAAUCUGACUCCAAACCCCAAACGGAUUUCUCUUUAUCAUCCUCCUGAUCACAUUUCUCCUGACAUGACUGGACAGCAGCCUGAGAGACUCAGCAUCGCACUGCUCUCUUCCCGGCCCGCUUUAGCAAUAUCUUGACUUUGUGGCAUUUCCCAGAGUUCCUAAAACAGGAGCCUGUUUAUUCGCUAGGAGAAAAAAGAAGAAAAAGACCGAGGUGUAUUCAGAAAAACAUAUACUCAUAGUUUGAAUUUCUCCUCCUCCCAAUAAUAGCCGGCAGUGUUUACCAAGCACUUAGUACUCACCAGACUCUGUCCAAAGCACUGGCGUGUACUCAUUUAUUCAGUCCUCACCACCCUGUUUGGUCAAUGCUAUUUUAUCUUCAUUUCACUGAAGGGCAAUCUGAUUCUCAGAUGUGGAAAAUCUGGAUAAAUAUAAUUUCUGUUUUGAACUCUGCCUGUGCAUUCUCUCCCUCCCCAUCCUCUACCCACCUUUCAACAUUAGAAAAUAAAACUCACC